rnacentral:lncRNA from 1 species
CAGGGAUGGGAUAUCGGGGCCAGCAUUAUAAAGGCACAGGUCCAGGAGGCUAUUGAGGACUCUGCAGAUGACCCAGAUGGUUUAAAAGACAGUGGUCUCGGACCAGAUGCUACGCAAUGGAGUGAGCGGACACUGGACGCCCCUGAAGAAUACCACGACUCCCCGCACAGUGACGCUGUUUCUGACCUCAACCCAAACAGCGAAGGGAGUCUGUCCACCCUGCUGGCGGCAGAAGACCUGCAUCUUGGGUGGCACAUUGACAAUACCUUUUGCCCUGUUGAAAUCAGAUCUCAGCAUAGGAGGGGGAGUCCCAGUAGCCGGCCUGCUGCGAAGAGUCCUGGAGGAGAUGAGAAGCACACAGAGCAAACCCUGAGGGGUCAGAGUAUAGAGACAGGUAGUGAACAUGCAGUGAUCACAGACACACACAUUGACCACAGCAGAAAAGCACAAGGUGGGCACUGCUUGGACACACAUUGUCUCCUUACAGAAGCUCACAAUGUAGAUCUAGGUGUAGCAGGAUCGGGAGUUGUGACUCCUGCAGCAAAAUCGGGGGAAAAACAGGAAGCCGUGUCAACUUCUCCGGUUCCGCUUUCCCAUACUCGUUACUCAUGUACCCCAGAGUUCCACAGGAUAGAGGACACCUCCAAAGUACGGCAGCUAAUCGCUGAGCCUCUGAGGUGUCUGAGUGAGAACCUCGAGGCAGACAGCAGGACCGCAACAGGGCGCAGUUCGUCCAAGAAAGACAAGGUGGACAAUGCAGAAGAGCCAAGCUUCCCUUUUCCCUGUGGACUAUCCAAACCCAAGGAGGUGCUGAAAGACUGCCUGCUUCUCAGCGAUAGAAAGUGUGAGGUAAUAUCCUCUGACAUCUGUGCACUGCCAGACUCCUUCAAACUAACCCCAAAGCUGCCAUUUGGCAAAGAGAGCCCAGAAUUAAUAAAUUCUCUUUGUAAAAAAAGAGAUAACGUUUGCAAUGCUUCCGUUAUACGGAAAAAAAAUGUAGGCGACACAUCUAGUGCUUCAGAGACAGAAACAGAAGACUGUGAGACUUCCCCUACUGAACAGCACGAUUCAACAAAAGCAGCAGGACCACUUCCGUGCAGGCCCAAAGUCAUUUUGGUGGAAAUCGGAGAUGACCUUCACGUGAACUGCAAAAAAAGUGGACAAACCAAAUCAAAUCAGAAAUGUAAAAAAGGUAAGAGGUACACAGACCCACUGGUGAACUCCAAACACCUUACUGAGCUGAACUGCCUCAGACACACAGACCACAUCCAAGGGGACCUUGGAACCUCGGAGCUAGAGGACAUUCCGGUAAGGACGAUAGAAAUUACACUGGGGA